AUGCACGCUGGCGGCGUGCCUAAUACAUGCCAGUCGAGCGAACAGACGAGGAGCUUGCUCCUCUGACGUUAGCGGCGGCCGGGUGAGUAACACGUGGAUAACCUACCUAUAAGACUGGGAUAACUUCGGGAAACCGGAGCUAAUACCGGAUAAUAUAUUGAACCGCAUGGUUCAAUAGUGAAAGACGGUUUUGCUGUCACUUAUAGCUGGAUCCGCGCCGCAUUAGCUAGUUGGUAAGGUAACGGCUUACCAAGGCAACGAUGCGUAGCCGACCUGAGAGGGUGAUCGGCCAUACUGGAACUGAGACACGGUCCAGACUCCUACGGGAGGCAGCAGUAGGGAAUCUUACGCAAUGGGCGAAAGCCUGACGGAGCAACGCCGCGUGAGUGAUGAAGGUCUUCGGAUCGUAAAACCCUGUUAUUAGGGAAAAACAAAUGUGUAAGUAACUAUGCACGUCUUGACGGUACCUAAUCAGAAAGCCACGGCUAACUACGUG
rnacentral:rRNA from 1 species